AGCGAACGCUGGCGGCAGGCCUAACACAUGCAAGUCGAGCGCCGUAGCAAUACGGAGCGGCAGACGGGAGAGUAACACGUGGGAACGUACCCUUUGGUUCGGAACAACCCAGGGAAACUUGGGCUAAUACCGGAUAAGCCCUCACGGGGGAAAGAUUUAUCGCCGAAGGAUCGGCCCGCGUCUGAUUAGCUAGUUGGUGAGGUAAUGGCUCACCAAGGCGACGAUCAGUAGCUGGUCUGAGAGGAUGAUCAGCCUCACUGGGACUGAGACACGGCCCAGACUCCGACGGGAGGCAGCAGUGGGGAAUAUUGGACAAUGGGCGCAAGCCUGAUCCAGCCAUGCCGCGUGGGUGAUGAAGGCCCUAGGGUUGUAAAGCCCUUUCAGCGGGGAAGAUAAUGACGGUACCCGCAGAAGAAGCCCCGGCUAACUUCGUGCCAGCCGCCGCCGUAACAC
rnacentral:rRNA from 1 species